UGAGUAACCUGCCCUUAACUCUGGGAUAAGCCUGGGAAACUGGGUCUAAUACCGUAUAUGACUCCUCAUCGCAUGGUGGGGGGUGGAAAGCUUUAUUGUGGUUUUGGAUGGACUCGCGGCCUAUCAGCUUGUUGGUGGGGUGAUGGCUUACCAAGGCGACGACGGGUAGCCGGCCUGAGAGGGCGUCCGGCCACACUGGGACUGAGACACGGCCCAGACUCCGUACGGGAGGCAG
rnacentral:rRNA from 1 species